ACCCUGAUCGUAAAGUGGUUAGUACAUUUUGUUGUGAACGCAAUAACCCAGAUUCGAGUCCUGGUCAUGGCA